GAGAGAGAGAGAGAGAGAGAGAAACAAACAGAGAGGCAGGGAUAGGAAAUAGAAAACAUUUAAUAUGAUGUGGAACAGAAAUGUAU